ensembl:lncRNA
GUGAUGUGACUGUGUUUUGUAAGGGACCAGGCACACAUAUAUCAAUGCAUAUAUAUCUUACUCAGUCAGCCGAUGCAUCCAAAGUUUGUGCUGUUCCAAGAUGAACAAAAGAUUCUCUGCUGGGAAUCACACACAGCUGUUUUUCAUUGAUGUCUCUUACUGAAAGUGCAGUCAGUCUUGAUAUGACUGCUGCUGCUACUGGAAAUGACACAACAUUUGUAUAAAAUGUAAUCUCAAAAAUGUGCUUUUCAAUGACUAUUCCCUUUAUCUUUUCAGCAAGUAGGUGAGGAUCAACAGAUGCCUUGUUCCUCCCUCUGUGGAUGUGGUGUGAAGAUGGCAUGUCUCGGUGAACUAAUAGUGCAAACAUGUUCCUGCAAACAUUGAUGUUUGCAUGGAUAAUCUCUCCGUUUGCACUUGCAGAACUUCAUGCAGGACGGGUGCUGUGCUGGUGUUACGUGGUCUUGGUCCGGGGUGUCUGGUGCCUGAGAGCGCUUUCAACUGAAGGAAAGCAAAUGGAGCACAGCACAACCGUUAUAUGCAAGGCCUGGACCCUGACAGGCAAGCGCUGUUAUGUUUUAGUAGCUGUUCUUGAAAUAGCUUCACAUUUGCAAAGAAUAUUUUGAACGCUAUGAGAUGCGUGUAAAUGUCACAUGUUUUUCAUAACAAAAUGCAGAUUUCUAAAGUAAACAGCACCGUGUAUCUCUCCAGAAAACAUCUUUGAUCCAUCUCAGGAACUGAUCUGUAUCGCAGUUUGGAAUAACAGAAGAAGUUUCUUAGUCAUCGUAGAAGACGUGUGUUCUUUGAAGCACAAAAUAGAUUAUGCACAUUGUAAUUUAUUCCAUGUUCAAACCCAUUGUCAUGACUUGUGCACAAAACUUGUUGUAGCAGUUGAGAAUUGUAGUCAGUGUUGGUGCAACUCCAGCCCCCGCACAAACUCUUGCACAAACACUGCAGGCUAAUGAGAGGUGCAGUUGUGAUGUUGGUGCUAAGGUUAGUUUCAGGUUCACAGGGCUGUGUGGGCACAGGUGGCCCGUCUAAGUGCUCUGAAAUUGGGCAAACACGGCCUGUUUGCUCUGCUGAUUGGCCCGGACUGACCUAGAGGAUUGUCUGAGUCAUGGUUGAUGUAAACGCAACAACUACAUUUACAGUCAACUGUCAGUGUCAGUUUAAAGUUGUGUUAGAAAGCACUAUAUAUAUAUAUAUAUAUAUAUGCAUUGGUGAAAGGUCAUAGUCUUUUGAAUAGAAUGUAUUUUCUAGUUUGAGUAGUUGAUUUUAAAGUGCAAUUUGCAAAUUAAUAAACUGACAAUUUGGCACA